GGAGGGCUGUGCCGAAUUGGUAAGGCGCUGCUUUCGAAAAGCAGUGGGGAAACCCAUUAGAGGUUCGAGUCCUCUGCCCUCCG
rnacentral:tRNA from 1 species